rnacentral:rRNA from 1 species
UACAGAGGCCUCGAGCGUUAGGCGGAAUCACUGGGCUUAAAGCGUGUGUAGGUGGAUGCCUAAGUACCUUGUGAAAUCCCACAGCUUAACUGUGGAACUGCUUGGUAUACUGGGUGUCUUGAGCCACUCAGGGGCUACCGGAACAAGCGGUGGAGCGGUGAAAUGCGUAGAUAUCGCUUGGACGCCAAGUGGUGAAAACAGGUAGCUGGGGUGUGCUGACACUGAGACACGAAAGCCAGGGAGCAAACGGG